rnacentral:tRNA from 1 species
GCCGAGAUAGCUCAGUCGGUAGAGCAGAGGACUGAA